rnacentral:rRNA from 1 species
AGUGAACGCUGGCGGCAGGCCUAAUACAUGCAAGUCGAACGGCAGCACAGUGGAGCUUGCUCCAUGGGUGGCGAGUGGCGGACGGGUGAGGAAUACAUGGGAAUCUGCCCAGUCGUGGGGGAUAACGUAGGGAAACUUACGCUAAUACCGCAUGCGCCCUUCGGGGGAAAGCCGGGGACCGUAAGGCCUGGCGCGAUUGGAUGAGCCCAUGUUCGAUUAGCUAGUUGGCGGGGUAAAGGCCCACCAAGGCGACGAUCGAUAGCUGGUCUGAGAGGAUGAUCAGCCACACUGGAACUGAGACACGGUCCAGACUCCUACGGGAGGCAGCAGUAGGGAAUAUUGGACAAUGGGGGCAACCCUGAUCCAGCCAUGCCGCGUGAGUGAAGAAGG